CCUCUGAGCGACCAAUAAACUGACUGUCUCCAUACCGCUUUUAAAGUCGGCGGGCCCUUUCACCAAUAAUAAGGCAGACACCACCCUCAGGUCGGGGAUUGAUGGAGAGUUUCACCAAUCACCUCACAGAUCUCCGCUAUCAACGCCUCUCUCUCACGGGAUUGACGAUCCACCCGGCCAAUUGGGGACGCCCAGUCGGCGGGUGGCUGAAAGCGGCCUUCUGUAAUGGCGGAGCGUGGCGGGGACGGGGGAGACGGAUGGCUCAACAGCAGGCCUUGAGGUUCCGAGGCCCAGCUCCCCCGCCAAAUGCAGUGAUGCGAGGCCCACCACCUCUGAUGCGACCUCCUCCACCUUUUGGUAUGAUGCGAGGCCCUCCUCCUCCACCUCGGCCCCCAUUUGGACGUCCCCCUUUUGAUCCUAAUAUGCCACCAAUGCCUCCUCCAGGAGGGAUUCCUCCACCUAUGGGCCCUCCACACCUUCAGAGACCACCUUUCAUGCCUCCACCCAUGGGAACCAUGCCUCCUCCUCCUGGUAUGAUGUUUCCACCAGGAAUGCCUCCUGUGACUGCUCCUGGUACUCCAGCACUGCCUCCUACUGAGGAGAUAUGGGUUGAAAAUAAAACUCCAGAUGGGAAGGUUUAUUAUUAUAAUGCUCGUACACGUGAAUCUGCAUGGACCAAGCCAGAUGGAGUUAAGGUUAUUCAGCAGUCAGAACUGACACCUAUGCUUGCAGCCCAGGCGCAGGUUCAGGCCCAGGCCCAGGCCCAGGCACAAGCUCAGGCCCAGGCCCAGGCCCAGGCUCAGGCCCAGGUGCAGGCGCAAGUGCAAGUGCAAGCACAAGCGGUCGGUGCUUCCACCCCUACGACCAGUAGCUCAGCACCUGCAGUGUCUACUUCAACAUCAUCAUCAACGCCAUCCUCUACCACUUCUACCACAACAACUGCCUCUUCAGUUUCGCAGACAGUAUCGAAGUUUCCAGUUUUUCUAAUUGAGGAGGCAAGAAAAAUGCAUGUGAAACAAUUAGAAAAUAGUGUGCAGAGUUAUACAGCGAAACUAGAAGAUAUAAGAAUUCAAGAAAACGGAGAGACAACACCCACAACACAAGAUCAGACCCCAAGUUCUGCUGUUUCAGUUGCCACGCCUACAGUUAGUGUUUCAACUCCUGCUCCUACAGCCACACCUGUGCAAACCGUUCCUCAGCCGCACCCCCAGACGUUACCUCCUGCUGUUCCUCAUUCAGUACCUCAGCCAGCAGCAGCAAUACCUGCUUUUCCACCAGUAAUGGUACCUCCGUUUCGUGUUCCCCUUCCUGGCAUGCCAAUUCCACUUCCAGGUGUAGCAAUGAUGCAAAUAGUCAGCUGCCCGUAUGUAAAGACAGUCGCUACCACCAAGACCGGUGUAUUGCCAGGAAUGGCCCCUCCUAUCGUACCUAUGAUACAUCCCCAGGUUGCUAUUGCAGCUUCACCUGCUACCUUAGCUGGAGCAACAGCAGUUUCUGAAUGGACUGAAUAUAAAACAGCAGAUGGGAAGACAUAUUAUUAUAAUAAUAGAACAUUAGAAUCAACCUGGGAAAAACCACAAGAGCUAAAGGAAAAAGAAAAACUAGAGGAGAAGAUUAAAGAGCCAAUUAAAGAACCUUCUGAAGAGCCUCUGCCAAUGGAGACGGAGGAGGAAGAUCCUAAAGAAGAGCCGAUAAAGGAGAUAAAGGAGGAGCCCAAAGAAGAAGAGAUGACUGAGGAAGAAAAAGCUGCCCAGAAGGCAAAGCCAGUAGCUACUACCCCUAUUCCUGGUACUCCGUGGUGUGUUGUUUGGACUGGUGAUGAGAGGGUCUUCUUUUAUAAUCCUACCACCCGUCUUUCUAUGUGGGACCGGCCCGAUGAUCUGAUUGGAAGGGCAGAUGUUGACAAAAUUAUUCAGGAACCCCCGCAUAAAAAAGGGAUGGAAGAGGUGAAGAAACUGAGGCACCCAACCCCGACAAUGCUGUCCAUCCAAAAGUGGCAGUUCUCUAUGAGUGCAAUUAAAGAAGAACAAGAAUUAAUGGAAGAAAUGAAUGAAGAUGAACCUGUUAAAGCCAAAAAACGGAAGAGAAUGUCAAAGAAGUCCUUUAUGUGGAUUGCCCGAGCUUCUCUAUUUAGGAGAGACGAUAAUAAAGACAUUGAUUCAGAGAAAGAAGCUGCCAUGGAAGCUGAAAUUAAAGCUGCCCGAGAAAGGGCCAUUGUCCCUCUGGAGGCCCGAAUGAAGCAGUUCAAGGACAUGCUGCUAGAGAGAGGGGUGUCUGCUUUUUCAACAUGGGAGAAGGAGUUGCACAAGAUAGUUUUUGAUCCUCGGUACUUAUUGCUCAAUCCUAAAGAGAGAAAACAGGUAUUUGAUCAGUAUGUAAAGACCAGGGCAGAGGAAGAACGGAGGGAAAAGAAAAACAAAAUAAUGCAAGCCAAGGAAGAUUUCAAAAAAAUGAUGGAGGAAGCAAAAUUUAAUCCGAGAGCUACAUUUAGUGAAUUUGCAGCCAAGCAUGCUAAAGAUUCAAGAUUUAAAGCAAUUGAAAAGAUGAAAGAUCGAGAAGCCUUGUUUAAUGAAUUUGUGGCAGCUGCAAGGAAGAAAGAGAAAGAAGAUUCGAAGACGAGAGGUGAAAAGAUUAAAUCGGAUUUCUUUGAACUACUAUCUAAUCAUCACUUGGACAGUCAGUCUCGAUGGAGCAAAGUAAAAGACAAAGUAGAAAGUGAUCCACGUUACAAAGCAGUGGAUAGUUCAUCCAUGAGAGAAGACCUUUUCAAACAGUACAUUGAAAAAAUAGCCAAGAACUUAGACUCAGAAAAAGAAAAAGAGCUUGAAAGGCAAGCCCGCAUUGAGGCAAGCCUUCGAGAACGAGAAAGAGAGGUUCAGAAGGCUCGUUCAGAACAAACAAAAGAAAUAGAUCGAGAGAGAGAACAGCACAAACGAGAAGAAGCUAUCCAGAAUUUCAAGGCUCUUCUGUCUGAUAUGGUACGUUCUUCAGAUGUGUCCUGGUCUGAUACUCGGAGAACUCUACGGAAAGAUCACCGCUGGGAAUCUGGAUCCUUGUUGGAAAGAGAGGAGAAAGAGAAGCUUUUUAAUGAACACAUUGAAGCACUUACCAAAAAGAAGAGGGAGCACUUUAGGCAACUUUUGGAUGAAACUUCUGCAAUUACCUUAACAUCCACAUGGAAAGAAGUAAAAAAAAUCAUUAAGGAGGAUCCUCGGUGCAUUAAAUUCUCCUCCAGUGACAGGAAAAAACAAAGAGAGUUUGAAGAAUACAUCAGAGACAAAUACAUCACAGCCAAAGCUGACUUCAGGACGCUUUUGAAAGAGACCAAAUUUAUAACAUAUAGUUAAUUUAGUGAAAGAUGUGAAAGUGAAAAAGCUUGUGAAAGAUGCUGGGAUUGGCAGCCCCGCAGACUGAAGUCCUCUGUUCAUCCACAGAACAGAUCCAAAAAGCUAAUCCAGGAAUCUGACCAGCACCUGAAAGACGUAGAAAAAAUUUUGCAGAACGACAAACGGUAUCUAGUACUAGACUGUGUGCCAGAGGAGAGGCGUAAACUGAUUGUGGCGUAUGUGGAUGACCUGGAUCGCCGGGGUCCACCCCCACCUCCCACAGCGUCAGAGCCCACAAGACGAUCAACAAAAUAACUUGGAAUACUCUUCCACAGGGUGUCUGUUCAUUCAAAACGCUUGCAUGAGCCAGUUUUCAGGUUUUUACAUGUAUGUGCAUUAGUCAGACUAUUGCAGACCAUCUGAUGAGCAGAAGGAGAAGCAUCCGUGAGCAGUUUCUGAACAGAGAACACUUUGGAAAUAUUUAUGCUUUUCUUUGUAUGGCAUGACUGACUUACAUACUCAAACAUAGGCUGUCUCUAGUAAAUCUAAAAUCUUGAAGCUAAAAAAUCAUCCUUUUAUGAGAUGUGGAAGUCAGUGACUUUUGGUGAUGUUCUUUCUAGUAGUGUUAUAAUACAUGCAAGACGUAAGAGCAUUUGUGGUUUGAACUUGCAAGAUGCAAAUACCACAGAUUCCCAAAAAAAAAAACCUAAGUUAGGGUUUAUUUUGUUUUGAUUUUGUUUUUUAAAGCGGGUAAAAGAAAAAAACACUGAAAAUUGAAUUCUUAUCUUCCAGAGGCUAAGAUUAUUAUAAUGGACAUACUUUGACCUUUGUCUCUAAAGAAUACUUUAGUUUCAUUUGUUCACUUAUGUGCUUUGAUUAUCCCCUUUGAAUUAUAGGCCAAGUCUUGUUGUUUAGCCUAAGAGAAGAUUUAUUUAGUAAUUUCUUCUCAGGUAUGGAGUCACAGUCAUAACUAACAUGUUGGCCAGACUAGGACUGCUGGUUAAACACAUUUUAUUCACCGUUAAGUGAUCUUUAUCAAUAUUCUGGAUUAGACAACAAAUUACCUUCCUUGGAUGUUCCUUGUAAACUAUACUCCUAUUUGAAUGUUAAUUUUUUGUUUCUAAAGUUUAAUUUUAAGAUGUUUGAAUGUUCAGUUUAUGUAUUUGAACUACAAUAAACCAACCCUUUUUAUAUAUGUGGAUUGUAUAUGAUUAUUGUUAUAUAAUGUAUAAAUACUUCUUUUAAACCUGUUCUUAAAAGCAGCAGCAAAUGUAAUUUGGCGCAAAGAAGGUUUGAAUCUUGAGUAUCACGUCAUUUUAAAAAGCUUGAAUAUAAUAAAUUACUCUUACCAUAAAAGGGAAGAAAUUUGUAAAGAACCAUUUUGGUGCUCAGUCUCUUAGCAAUAUCUUAUUGCUUCAUAGCAAGAAGAUGCUGAUUUUUGUUUGUCUGUUUUCUUGUUCUUAUCUUUUAUAUUAACGUAGAUGAAUGCCUUUUUGGAUUUCUUUCAGUUUGUUGAGUGCAUCAUACCAUGAAACUUAACUUUGAUUCCCAGUUACUCUGUCUAGCUUUACCUCUCCAGUUUAGAAAGAUCUCUAUUUCAUUCCUUCGUAGAUUUCUAGUUUGAAUCACCACCAUAAAUAAAAUGUUGAA